GAACCAGAUCGGCGGAGCGCCCCCAAUUCCUCACUUCCUGCUUCCGCCCCUCCCCCCAUCUCCCCUCUCCCCCUCGCGAGAGGCGGAGAGCCGACACACCCACCCCAUCCCCGAGCGCCGCUAGGGUUGCGGCUCGCUCCGGCGAUGGAGGACGACGAAUACGAGGAGGGGAUGGAGAUGGAUAUGGGAGGGCACCAGCACCUCCAGCACCGGGGGUACGGAGCUGAGGAGGAGGUUGAGGGGGGAUACGCCGGCGGCGGGGACGGGGAGGAUGAGGAGGAGGAGGCGCGGGACGAGGAGGAGAUUACCCAGGAGGACGCCUGGGCCGUCAUCUCCGCCUACUUCGAGGAGAAGGGCCUCGUGCGCCAGCAGCUCGACUCCUUCGACGAGUUCAUCCAGAACACCAUGCAGGAGAUCGUCGACGAGUCGGCCGACAUCGAGAUCCGCCCCGAGUCGCAGCACAACCCCGGCCGCCAGGCCGAGUUCGCCGAGGUUCCAAUCAUGCUGCGUUCUAGUUACUGCACACUGUUUCAACAAUCUGAAAAGGAUCUCACAGAACUUGGAGAGUGCCCUUAUGACCAAGGAGGAUAUUUUGUAAUCAACGGUAGUGAAAAGGUUCUCAUUGCCCAGGAGAAGAUGAGCACUAACCAUGUCUAUGUGUUUAAGAAGAGGCAACCAAAUAAGUUUGCAUAUGUGGGUGAAGUCCGUUCAAUGGCAGAGAACCAGAACAGACCUGCUAGUAGCAUGUUUGUUCGGAUGCUUUCCCGAGCAGGCGCGAAAGGGGGUUCAUCUGGUCAAUAUAUCCGUGCUACUCUGCCCUACAUUCGUGCAGAUAUUCCCAUCAUCAUUGUGUUUAGAGCACUAGGAUUUGUUGCUGACAAAGAUAUACUGGAGCACAUAUGCUACGAUUUCUCCGAUACACAAAUGAUGGAAUUGCUGCGCCCAUCUUUGGAGGAAGCUUUUGUCAUUCAAAAUCAGCAGGUUGCUCUGGACUACAUUGGAAAGCGUGGUGCUACAGUUGGUGUAACUCGAGAAAAAAGAAUAAAGUAUGCGAAAGAGAUACUUCAAAAGGAAAUGCUGCCCCAUGUUGGUGUAGGCGAAUUCUGUGAAACUAAAAAGGCAUACUACUUUGGGUAUAUUAUUCACCGCCUGUUGAUGUGUGCUCUUGGUCGAAGAGCUGAAGAUGACAGAGAUCAUUACGGCAACAAAAGGCUCGACCUUGCAGGUCCAUUGCUUGGAGGACUGUUCAGAAUGCUUUUCAGGAAAUUGACGAGGGAUGUGAGGUCAUAUGUUCAGAAGUGUGUCGAUAAUGGGAAGGAAGUUAAUUUGCAAUUUGCUAUUAAAGCUAAAACCAUUACUAGUGGCUUGAAGUAUUCCCUUGCUACUGGAAACUGGGGACAGGCUAACCAAGCUGGUACAAGAGCCGGUGUGUCUCAGGUGCUUAAUCGCCUUACGUAUGCUUCUACAUUAUCACAUCUUCGGAGGUUGAACUCUCCCAUUGGGCGUGAAGGGAAACUGGCAAAACCUCGCCAAUUGCAUAAUUCUCAUUGGGGAAUGAUGUGCCCUGCUGAAACACCUGAAGGACAGGCUUGUGGCUUGGUUAAAAAUCUUGCCUUGAUGGUUUAUAUCACUGUUGGUUCUGCCGCAAAUCCUAUUUUGGAAUUUUUGGAAGAGUGGGGCACAGAAAAUUUUGAGGAGAUAUCACCGGCAGUCAUUCCUCAAGCUGCUAAAAUAUUUGUCAAUGGUUGUUGGGUUGGAAUUCAUAGGAAUCCUGACCUAUUGGUGAAGACCCUUCGUCGUUUAAGAAGACAGAUUGAUGUCAACACUGAAGUUGGUGUCGUUCGUGAUAUUCGUCUGAAAGAACUUCGACUCUAUACUGAUUAUGGGCGUUGCAGUCGCCCACUGUUUAUCGUUGAAAACCAGAGGCUUCUAAUUAAGAAGAAACAUAUCCGAGCAUUGCAGCAAAGGGAGACUCCUGAUGAAGGUUGGCAUGACUUGGUUGCCAAAGGAUUUAUAGAGUACAUAGACACUGAAGAGGAAGAAACUACUAUGAUCUCUAUGACUAUACGUGACCUUGAAACUUCGAGGCAUAAUCCAGGGGAGGCAUAUUCUGAGACUUAUACACACUGUGAGAUCCACCCUUCAUUGAUACUUGGUGUGUGUGCGUCAAUUAUUCCUUUUCCUGAUCACAACCAGUCACCUCGUAAUACAUAUCAGUCUGCUAUGGGAAAGCAAGCCAUGGGAAUCUAUGUUACCAACUAUCAGUUAAGAAUGGACACAUUGGCCUACGUUCUGUACUACCCACAAAAGCCUCUUGUUACUACUCGUGCUAUGGAACAUUUGCACUUCAGGCAGUUACCAGCUGGCAUUAAUGCAAUUGUUGCUAUUGCAUGCUACUCUGGAUAUAACCAAGAAGAUUCGGUUAUUAUGAACCAAUCUUCAAUAGAUCGUGGGUUCUUCAGAUCACUAUUUUUCCGCUCUUACAGAGAUGAGGAAAAGAAGAUGGGAACUCUUGUCAAAGAGGAAUUUGGUCGACCAAAUAGGGAGAACACUAUGGGAAUGCGCCAUGGGUCUUACGAUAAAUUAGAUGAUGAUGGCCUUGCACCACCGGGAACAAGGGUCUCUGGGGAAGAUGUCAUUAUUGGGAAGACAUCUCCAAUUCCACAAGAUGAUGCUCAAGGGCAAGCUACUAGAUAUUCAAAGCGUGAUCAUAGUACUUCUCUGCGUCACAGUGAAAGUGGGAUGGUGGAUCAGGUUCUGUUGACAACGAAUGCUGAUGGUUUAAGAUUUGUCAAGGUUAGAAUGCGAUCAGUGCGCAUACCACAAAUAGGAGAUAAGUUCAGCAGUAGGCAUGGUCAGAAGGGAACUGUUGGAAUGACUUACACACAAGAGGACAUGCCAUGGACAAUCGAAGGCAUCACACCGGAUAUCAUUGUGAAUCCACAUGCUAUUCCAUCCCGUAUGACUAUUGGCCAGCUGAUUGAGUGUAUUAUGGGUAAAGUCGCGGCUCACAUGGGAAAGGAAGGAGAUGCAACUCCUUUCACUGAUGUUACGGUGGAUAACAUCAGUAAAGCACUGCACAAGUGUGGCUAUCAGAUGCGUGGAUUUGAGACCAUGUACAAUGGUCAUACUGGGAGAAAAUUGACUGCAAUGAUUUUCUUAGGUCCAACUUACUACCAGAGACUUAAGCAUAUGGUGGAUGACAAAAUUCACUCUAGAGGUCGUGGUCCUGUCCAGAUACUGACCAGACAGCCAGCAGAGGGGCGCUCACGUGAUGGUGGUCUCCGUUUUGGAGAAAUGGAGAGGGAUUGCAUGAUUGCUCAUGGAGCUGCUUUUUUCUUGAAGGAAAGGUUAUUUGACCAGAGCGAUGCUUACAGAGUGCAUGUUUGUGAGAAGUGUGGACUCAUUGCCAUUGCCAAUCUCAAGAAGAAUUCCUUCGAAUGCAGAGGCUGCAAGAACAAAACUGACAUUGUCCAGGUUCAUAUACCGUACGCAUGUAAGCUCCUCUUCCAGGAGCUCAUGGCGAUGGCGAUUGCUCCCAGGAUGCUCACCCAUGAGGUCAAGGGUGCGAGGGAUAAGCAUCGUUGAGCUUGAGUGUUGUAUUCGGGUGCCUGACUUGGAGCUGUUUUCCGGGUGUCUUGUUGUGGAACUUAAGAAUGAGUAUAGCUCUUCUGAUAUGGAUUUUGGUUCUGACGGCUAGGCAUUUUGAAGAGCUAUCCUUCUGAUUGUGUUCUGGAUAUGUCAGACGCCAGACAUGAAGUUACUUAGUCUUGGCUUUUAAGAGUUCAACUCAAACGAUGUUUGUGUGAAGACAAUUGCAUGAAUUUCUGGGUCGAGGCAUGAGUAGCCUUCGGUGUUGGGUCAUAUUGAGUAGAAACUCAUGGUCAAAUUGUCAACUUAAUAGCCAAUGUUAAGAGAGAUCGAGUUUGAGUCUACCGAGCAGAUUGAAGAAUCUGCCUUCUGUUGUUUGUAAGUCGUAUAAAACGAGUUCACUGUAGCUGACCGUUCCUCAGUUUUGUGCGCCAAAGGAUAUUUUUGUCAUAUGAAGGAGUUACCA
rnacentral:rRNA from 1 species